UGGGGAAUAUUGUGCANUGGGGGGAACCCUGACGCAGCCAUGCCGCGUGAAUGAAGAAGGCCUUAGGGUUGUAAAGUUCUUUCGGUAUUGAGGAAGGUUGAUGUGUUAAUAGCACAUCAAAUUGACGUUAAAUACAGAAGAAGCACCGGCUAACUCCGUGCCAGCAGCCGCGGUAAUACGGAGGGUGCGAGCGUUAAUCGGAAUAACUGGGCGUAAAGGGCACGCAGGCGGUUAUUUAAGUGAGGUGUGAAAGCCCCGGGCUUAACCUGGGAAUUGCAUUUCAGACUGGGUAACUAGAGUACUUUAGGGAGGGGUAGAAUUCCACGUGUAGCGGUGAAAUGCGUAGAGAUGUGGAGGAAUACCGAAGGCGAAGGCAGCCCCUUGGGAAUGUACUGACGCUCAUGUGCGAAAGCGUGGGGAGCAAACAGGAUUAGAUACCCUGGUAGUCCACGCUGUAAACGCUGUCGAUUUGGGGGUUGGGGUUUAACUCUGGCGCCCGUAGCUAACGUGAUAAAUCGACCGCCUGGGGGAGUACGGCCGCAAGGUUA
rnacentral:rRNA from 1 species